rnacentral:rRNA from 1 species
AUUGAACGCUGGCGGCAGGCCUAACACAUGCAAGUCGAGCGGAGCGUCGGACGGGUGAGUAAUGCCUAGGACUCUGCCUGGUAGUGGGGGAUAACGUCCGGAAACGGGCGCUAAUACCGCAUACUAUCAGAUGAGCCUAGGUCGGAUUAGCUCGUGGGUGGGGUAAAGGCCUACCAAGGCGACGAUCCGUAACUGGUCUGAGAGGAUGAUCAGUCACACUGGAACUGCGAAACGGUCCAGACUCUUACGUGAGGCAGAAGUGGGGAAUAGUGGAUAAUGGGCGAAAGCCGGUUCCAGCCAGGCCGCGUGUGUGAAGAAGGUCUUCGGAUUGUAAAGCACUUUAAGUUGGGAGGCGUUCCCAAUAGAAUAAGCACCGGCUAACUUCUUGCCAGCAGCCGGGUAAUUC